UUUUUUUUUUUUUUUCUUUUUUGGCUGCCCCAUGGCAUAUGGAGUUCCUGGGACAGGGAUUGGAUCUGAGCCGCAGUUGCAACCUACACUGGAUCCUUUAACCCACUGUGCCUGGCACUACAGAGAUACUGCCAGUCCCAUUGUGCCACAGUGGGAACUCCUCAACUACACAUAUUCUUAAUCAAACUCCAUGUCCAUGAACGACAACAAGACAUAACAGAAGAGAUCAGAACAAUUCCUAAAAUUCUGGCCAGAUAAUGACUGCCAAUAUCUUGGCAGAGGUCCUGUGUUCUGGCAAAGUAAAGAUUUAAUCAGCUAGUACAGAGCAUUUCUCACUCAACAGUUAAGUUAUGCCAGAGUCAAUACCUGUGAGUUCAGAGAAGCGUAAUCAUUCCCCUACACUCACUUUGUCAUGAUCUUGGAAAUUCCAGGAUUAAAAACAAAGGAGUCAUAACAGAAACUAAAGGCACUAGAGCCAAGCAGGCUCAGAAGAUUUCAGCUUAUCCUAAAGAGCCUACAGAGGAGAAAGGCUCUUCUCAGAUGGUGUCCAUAUGGUUUAUACAUAGUAUACAUGGAAUUUAUGUUGAAUCUACAGCCAGGGACAAAAGUGAUGCAAAAGGAACUGACCAAUCACCUUUCUUAGAGCUGGAAUCCACUGAGAACAUGACUCACUGGGAUGAGAGGGGUCAUUGUUGGAGGGAGCCAGCAGACUAGCAGGAUGGAAUUUGGUUCUGGUUGGAUGAAACUGUUAGCAUGGCCCUGGUACCCUUGGUUAAAUAUGUAAUCAUAUUCCAUAAGUAAAGAGAAAGGUCCACAACAUAAUAGCUCAUGAAUGUCUUCAAAACAAAGAUUAACAUUUAUCUCGAAGUACAAAUCUUCCUUAAAUUAUAAACUGCUAAUUUAAAAUGCCCAAGGAUUAGGCCAGUCUCCUAAAUCAACUUUCUGUGUAUCAGAUUGCUUUGACAUAAAACAGCCUGGGUGACGGAGUUCCCGUCAUGGCGCAGUGGAAACGAAUCUGACUAGGAACCAUGAGGUUGCACGUUCGAUCCCUGGCCUCACUCAGUGGGUUAAGGAUCCGGCAUUGCCGUGAGCUGUGGUGUAGGUUGCAGACACGGCUCAGAUCUGGUGUUGCUAUGGCUCUGGUGUAGGCCGGUGGCUACAGCUCUGAUUCGAUCCCUAGCCUGGGAACCUCCAUAUGCCAAGGGUGUGGCUCUAAAAAGACAAAAGACAAAAAUAAAUAAGUAAAUAAAAUAAAAUCCAACAACUAGCAUUUUCUUGGAAAAGGCAGCUGCUAAGUGCAGAGGUACCUUAGCCCCAUGACCUGGCCUCAGGUCAUCCUCAGCACCAUUCCCAUCGUCUCCACUUCCCUGGCCACAUUCUCCAGGGGGUGAUGGUGGUGGCGAUGAUGAUGAUGGCGGCUAACAGGAAUCUAGCACUUACUACCUGCUAAACACCCUUCUUUACCCAAGUGCUUUACAUGGAUUAUAUAAGUACUACAGUUGUCUCCACCUCAUGGGAGAAAAUAACCAGAAAUGGAGAAAAUAGGAAAGGCACAAGGUCACUGUUAGUCAGCGACUCCCUCAUCCACAGGUUUAACCCAGUCAUGGUAUUUGUGAGCAUGACAGUAAGGAUUUUCUCACUUUCAGUAAAGAGUUAGUUGUUAUUUCUAAUUAUCAUCAGCUUUCUCAUUUAGAUAUGCAUGAACAAGUCUCACAUAGGUAAGAACAGGACUAAGAUGAUUUGGACAAUUUAAAAAAAAAAUUGGGGGCGGGCUGCACUUGUCGCCUAUGGAAGUUCCCAGGCUAGGGAGUCAAAUACAAGUGGCAGCUGCCGGACAACGUCACAACCACAGCAACACCAGAUCCAGCCCCAGCUGUGACCUAGACCACAGCUCAUGGCAAUGCUGGAUCCCUAACCCACUGAGCAGGCAGGGGCCAGGGAUUGAACUGCGUCCUCAUGGAUUCUAGUCGGGUUCAUUACAACUGAACUACAGUGGGAGCUCUGGUUUGGAUAAUUUUUAGACAGCAAAUUUCUUUGACCUACCACAGGACAUUCUGCCAUUGAACAUCUGAAACUAGAAAGGGGUGCUCAGGAUUCACCUUAGCCACCUACCCAUUUCUGGGAGCUACAGGCUACUGUACAGAGUGUAGGGUUCUCAGUAUCAGUCCUGGGUUCAAGCCCUGGCUCUGCCACUUACCAGCUGAGUGACUGGGAUAUAUUCUUAUCUUUUCAUUGUUAGUUUCUUUUCCAUACAGUAAAGAAUAAUAAAAAGUACCUCUAUGAGAAAGUACGCUAUAAAACAUUUAUGUUAUUUUAGCCCCAGUAAAUGCUUCAUGACAACAUCAUAUUCAGGGUGGGAAAGCCUGAAUCCCAAAAUGAUCCAUGUAAGAUAUCUGCAGAAGGGAUAGAAAAUUGAGAAGACAGGAAAGGAUUAAAUUCAGAGGUAUCCAUUCUUUCUCUGCAAGAACUAAUCCUGAUUGAAAUACCCUAAAUGUUCUACUUCCACUUUCCUGGAGCAAAGAAACAUUUGAUCAUCUGUGACAACUUCCAUCAAAGUUUCCCUGGUCUACUCUCACUUGUAUGGAGGUUUUCACAUUCUAACUAGCAGCGGUGCUGCAAAAGGUGAAUAAAGGCAGGGGAGGGAUUAGGAGGCACAGGCCAGGCAACCGGCCUCCCCCU
rnacentral:lncRNA from 1 species